UACGGGGGGGGGCAAGCGUUGUUCGGAAUCACUGGGCGUAAAGGGCGCGUAGGCGGCUUUAUAAGUCGGGGGUGAAAGCCUGUGGCUCAACCACAGAAUUGCCUUCGAUACUGUAGAGCUUGAGACCGGAAGAGGUAAGUGGAACUGCGAGUGUAGAGGUGAAAUUCGUAGAUAUUCGCAAGAACACCAGUGGCGAAGGCGGCUUACUGGUCCGGUUCUGACGCUGAGGCGCGAAAGCGUGGGGAGCAAACAGGG
rnacentral:rRNA from 1 species